rnacentral:rRNA from 1 species
CCUCAGCACGGGGAUAAACCCGGGAAACUGGGUAUAAUACCCGAUAGUUCUGGGAUGCUGGAAUGCUUCCAGGACGAAAGCUCCGGCGACUGAGGAUGGGUCUGCGGCCUAUCAGGUAGUAGUGGGUGUAAUGUACCUACUAGCCUACGACGGGUACGGGUCGUGAGAGCGAGAGCCCGGAGAUGGAUUCUGAGACACGAAUCCAGGCCCUACGGGGUGCAGCAGGCGCGAAAACUUUACAAUGCUGGCAACAGCGAUAAGGGGACCUCGAGUGCCAGGAUACAAUCUUGGCUGUCGUAAUGCCUAAAAAGCAUUACAUAGCAAGGGCCGGGCAAGACCGGUGCCAGCCGCCGCGGUAACACCGGCGGCUCGAGUGGUAACCGCUAUUAUUGGGUCUAAAGGGUCUGUAGCCGGCCGGAUAAGUCUUUUGGGAAAUCCAGCUGCUCAACAGUUGGGCUUUCAGAAGAUACUGUUCGGCUCGAGGCCGGGAGAGGUGAGAGGUACUUCAGGGGUAGGGGUGAAAUCUUGUAAUCCUUGAAGGACCACCAGUGGCGAAGGCGUCUCACCAGAACGGUCCUGACGGCAAGGGACGAAAGCUAGGGGCACGAACCGGAUUAGAUACCCGGGUAGUCCUAGCCGUAAACGAUACUCGCUAGGUGUCAGCCACGGUGCGACCGUGGUUGGUGCCGUAGGGAAGCCGUGAAGCGAGCCACCUGGGAAGUA